rnacentral:rRNA from 1 species
UACGUAGGGUGCAAGCGUUGUCCGGAAUUAUUGGGCGUAAAGAGCUCGUAGGCGGUCUGUCGCGUCUGCUGUGAAAACUCGGGGCUCAACCCCGAGCCUGCAGUCGAUACGGGCAGACUAGAGUCCGGCAGGGGAGACUGGAAUUCCUGGUGUAGCGGUGAAAUGCGCAGAUAUCAGGAGGAACACCGGUGGCGAAGGCGGGUCUCUGGGCAGUAACUGACGCUGAGGAGCGAAAGCGUGGGGAGCGAACAGG